rnacentral:rRNA from 1 species
AGAGUUUGAUCAUGGCUCAGAACGAACGCUGGCGGCAGGCUUAACACAUGCAAGUCGAACGCACCGCAAGGUGAGUGGCAGAAGGGUGAGUAACGCGUGGGAACCUUCCCGGAGGUACGGAAUAACUGCGGGAAACCCAAGCGAAUAACGUAUAUCUCCCCCGGAAGUACGAGUUAUCGCCAUAGGAUGGGCCCGCGUUGGAUUAGCUAGUUGGUAGGGUAAAGGCCUACCAAGGAAACGAUCGAUAGCUGGUCUGAGAGGAUGACCAGCCACACUGGGACUGAGACACGGCCCAGACUCCUACGGGAGGCAGCAGUGGGGAAUAUUGGACAAUGGGGGAAACCCUGAUCCAGCCAUGCCGCGUGAGUGAAGAAGGCCUUAGGGUUGUAAAGCUCUUUUGCCUGGGAAGAUAAUGACGGUACCAGCAGAAUAAGCCCCGGCUAACUUCGUGCCAGCCGCCGCGGUAAUUC